GGCCCGGUGAACGUCUAGGCGGCGGCGGCAGCGCCGACGAGGGGACAGCUGCGGGGCCGUCGUGGUGGGAGGCGUCUCUGAGCCGCGCCAGACUAGCCGAGCCUGGUGGAGUCCGGCCGCUCACUCCUGCUUUCUCCCGGACUCGUUCGUUCCCCCGGCGUCUGUCGACGCCGCUCCGUGUCCCCGCUGGGCACAGCAGCCCGGGCCCUCCACGUCCACGGCCGCUAGCCUGAGGAGGCCCUCCUUCAGCUCCCGCUCUUCCUCCUCGCCCGACGCAGACGACGAGGGCGUGCGCAGCACCUGCGAAGAUGCUUCUAUUUGCAAGAGAUUCAAGUCUCUCCUAUCAAAAACCAAUUUAGACUUACAUUCAGAGGAGACACUUCAAAUGGGAUUGUAGGAAACAUAUGUAUAUGUGCAUAUCUGCAGGAACUGUUUGCUCAAAGAAUUGGCCAUUAUGAAUUUUAGCUACUGCCCAACUGUUCUUCAAGACCUUUUUAUGAAUUCCUACUUUCACAAAGGCAAAUCCGCCCGCCGUACAAACUAUUGGGACUUCCUGGCUGAUUGUGGUGUGGAUGUUGUUUUUUCUGGGAGCAAGUUCUUGACAAACCUAUAAUGAAAAGUAGGAGCUAUCUACAUAGGGAGAACUCAGACUUCGUUCAGCAAUUCCCUGGGGGUCUGGAGACUGGAUAGAAUACUUUUUUCUUUUUCCAUUGCCAACACCCAUGCCCAUUCAGGCCUAUGUGAGUUUUUACAAUGCUCCUCCAACUGGUCUCCAGGCCUCCAGCGUGCCUCAUUUCUCUUCAUCGUAGAGGA
rnacentral:lncRNA from 1 species